AUUCCUACGGGACGCAGCAGUGGGGAAUAUUGGACAAUGGGGGGAACCCUGAUCCAGCGACGCCGCGUGAGUGAAGAAGUAUUUCGGUAUGUAAACCUCUGUCAGCAGGGAAGAACGGUCACUGUGCUAAUCAGCAGUGAAUUGACGGUACCUGCAAAGGAAGCACCGGCUAACUCCGUGCCAGCAGCCGCGGUAAUACGGAGGGUGCGAGCGUUAAACGGAAUUACUGGGCGUAAAGCGCUCGUAGGCGGUAUGUCAAGUCAAGGGUGAAAUCCCCGCGCUCAACGUGGGAACUGCCUUUGAAA
rnacentral:rRNA from 1 species